GGCCUAAAUCUCACAUAAAAGUGAGGAUUGUGAGUGAAAUUUCAAGCUACGAAGUACUAAUCGAAGUCCGGGCAACGCAUAAUCACGAAUAUAAUUUUGUUUGGAGUUAGAGGAGCAUGGGAACAAUAAGAUGUUGAAGGAUUUGCUACUUUCAUAAAAACAAGGUUUUGGACGAAACGGGAUUUGAGUUUUGGCAAGCGUAAAGGGCAAGAAAGGUACAGACUACAGAUUUGCUGACCCACCUGCCUAGGACACCUAUUCUGCUAUUCUGGAGCGCUCUUUUGUCCAGAGCCUAUACUCUGGUACAGUCUGCUGCUGUUGGAUAUAUGUACGCUAUUCAUGGGUACGACGGGGCCCUGUCCUGUCUUAUGUUUCUGUUAUGUUCUGUAGAGGUCUGUAGACAUACAUGUGGGUUCUGUAUAUGUUUUGGGUUGCUAUGAUUUGUGAUAGCCUUAUCGGCUUCCAUGUGUUAUAUAUGUUCCUCUAUGACACUAGUAAUGUCGACUGACUUUUAUAUUUAUAUAAUCUGCUAGUCUGCUGGUUUGGAUUA